GAUGAAGAACGCAGCAAAAUGCGAUAAGUAAUGUGAAUUGCAGAAUUCAGUGAAUCAUCGAAUCUUUGAACGCACAUUGCGCCCGCCAGUAUUCUGGCGGGCAUGCCUGUUCGAGCGUCAUUUCAACCCUCAAGCACAGCUUGGUGUUGGGACUCGCGUUAAUUCGCGUUCCCCAAAUUGAUUGGCGGUCACGUCGAGCUUCCAUAGCGUAGUAGUAAAACCCUCGUUACUGGUAAUCGUCGCGGCCACGCCGUUAAACCCCAACUUCUGAAUGUUGACCUCGGAUCAGGUAGGAAUACCCGCUGAACUUAAGCAUAUCAAUGAGCGGAGGA
rnacentral:misc_RNA from 1 species